rnacentral:sRNA from 1 species
GCGUUAACCAAUACCAAACUGUUGCUUUUUUAUUCGACCUCUAAUAAUAGCAGCAGUACCGAUUUCCCUGGUGUUGGCGCAGUAUUCGCGCACCCCAGUUUCGAC